rnacentral:rRNA from 1 species
GACGAACGCUGGCGGCGUGCCUAACACAUGCAAGUCGAACGAAGAAUGUUUUUCGGAAUAUUCUUAGUGGCGGACGGGUGAGUAACGCGUGAACAAUCUGCCCCGUACAAAGGGAUAGCCUCGGGAAACCGGGAUUAAAACCAUAUAACGCUUUAGUACCGCAUGGUAAUAAAGUCAAAUCGAUUAAGAGGUAUGGGAUGAGUUCGCGUCUGAUUAGCUAGUUGGUGAGGUAAGGGCUCACCAAGGCGACGAUCAGUAGCCGGCCUGAGAGGGUGAACGGCCACACUGGAACUGAGACACGGCCCAAACUCCUACGGGAGGCAGCAGUGAGGGAUAUUGCACAAUGGGCGAAAAGCCUGAUGCAGCGACGCCGCGUGAGGGAUGACGGUCUUCGGAUUGUAAACCUCUGUCCUUGGUGAAGAAGAAAGUGACGGUAGCCAAGGAGGAAGCCACGGCUAACUACGUGCCAGCAGCCGCGGUAAAAUCAACGUGUA